AGCGGGGGAAGGGCAGACCCUAUGCUGUCCCUGAAUGUUGACGGGAAGGACUUCCCCUUUCUGGUUGACACAGGUGCCACGUUUUCCACCAUCACUCCCCCUCCCGUCACAGGACUACUAUCCUCCAAGACAAUGGAAGUUGUGGGGUUUGAAGGAGUGGGACAGACUUUGGGACAGACCCCGACGGUGGCCGCCUGCAUCCAAGCUACAAUGACGGUCCUCACCAGACUGGCUGAGAAAGGGUUCAAGGUGUCAAAAGAAAAGCUACAGCUGGUAAGGACGCAGGUCUCCUUUCUGGGCAGAGUAAUCUCGCAGAAAGGAGCGGGGCUUUCCCCAGCUCACCGCACAACCAUCCUCCACCAUCCUAAACCCACUACUGUUCAGGAAAUGCUAUCAUUCCUGGGGCUCACGGGGUACAACCGCAAUUACAUCCCAAACUAUUCAGGGCUCACAGAGCCACUUAGAGCGCUAGUUAUGGACCAGGGAAUGCGUAAACUUAAAGCCACUCUCAAUUGGACUUGUCCGGCCGACCAGGCCUUCAUUUUGCUGAAACAACAACUAGCCACCGCAGCUGAUCUGGCCAUACCAGACUACACAAAACCUUUUUUCUAGAUGUUUCUGAAACAGGUCAAGUCAUGAACGGGGUCCUGUUUCAGAAAAAAGGGGGAGAAGGCUCUGAGAGAGACGAGCUAGUGAGACAUCAAAAGGGGGCUUCCCCACAAGAGAAAACAAUUUGGCAACAGAGAGGAGCAACAGAGACGAGCGGGCUCUGGAGAGGGCCAGACGGUAGAGUAAUACUUCCACCAGCCAUGCGGGGAGAUAAAUUUGCAGAAGCUGUGAUGGCCAACAAAGCCCACGGGUUGGGCCAUGUAGGGCCAGCACAGAUGUUGAGGAACUUGUGCCAUUGGUGGCACCUGUUUAUGGUAGACAUGGUACGUAACUACACUAGGACAUGCACCAUCUGCACACACCACAACCCAAAACCGACAAUCAAACCUGAGAAGGGGGCGUUCCCCAUGACAACGAAACCUGGACAAGAGAUAGUGAUAGAUUACACGGACAUGAGGGAAACAGUACGGGGGUGUCGCUACAUGUUAGUGUGUGUGGACAUGUUCACAGGGUGGCCAGAAGCCUGGCCGGCAAGAAGGGAGGACAGUCAGACAGUGUUUAGUGAACCAGAACAUUCCCAGACUCGGCUUCCCAGAGAAAAUCAAAUCAGACAAUGGGACUCACUUUAAGAACAGUGAUUUACAGAAGGUAGAGAGCUUAUUGGGCCUAAAACAUGCUUUUGGCACUGUGUACCAUCCACAGUCCCAGGAAAAGGUAGAAAGGAUGAACCAAAACUUAAAAAACAAGUUGGAUAAGAUAGGUGCACAGACUAAAUUGAACUGGGUAGAUGCACUGCCACUGGCACUCAUGACGAUUCGAUGCUUGUUAAAUCAGACCACCGGGUUCACCCCAUACGAGCUGCUGACGGGGAGACAGUUUCCAGGACCAGCCGCGGGGCCUGCGGUCCCGGAAGGGGAAAAGUGGCCCAGAGAUCACAGAGUGUAUUUUGAUGAAUUGCAAGCUCUCGUUUCAGAAUUCACCAACAGAGUCGGAGAACGGAGGGACCUGCACCCGCUGGACCAGAACCUGCCCCAGGCGGAGUGGGUGCUGCUGAAGGUCAUCAAACGAAAGUGGUCGGAGCCAAGGUGGACGGGUCCUCAUCAGGUGGUGGAGAGAACGAGUCAUGCGGGACAAAGGAGAGACCUGGUACCAUUGGAGCCAGUGUAUACCAGUGGCGACGGUGAUCUUACACAACUUGAGCAGAUACUUUGUAUUGAGGACAGCAGGGUGAUGAUACAAAGUACAUUACCACAAUGGGGUCAGUUACGGACACCCUUCCUUGUGGCUGCACAGCGUGAGGGGAUUUUUGUUUUGUUUUCUUUCAGGCUUGAAAGCUGAAAGUAAUACAGCUAACUCUUCAAAACUGCGCUGUACGUAAAUGUAUGUUUGAGUUAGAAUAUUUAAAUCUGAAAAGUGGAUUGUUAUUUACACGUUAAACCAGAGAAAUGGCGAAAGAUAAUGCUAACAACAGACCAGACACGGAACAGCCAACAACCUCUACACAUAAUCAAUCGACCACACCCCAAAAUACAAAUGAACCAACCGUUACUUUGUUACCCAGCGAUGUGCACAAUAAUCCUCAGAUACAAGGCUUAUUAACCGAGCUUAGUAACCCCCAUUUUUCACACGAUCUAGUUGACACUCCUUCGAGCUCUCUGAUGCAAA
ensembl:lncRNA